UAGCUUUGUCCUAAGUCAAACUUCUUAAAGUUUGACCAAGUUUAUAGAAAAACGUACCAACAUCUACAAUAUCAAAAUAACUACACUAUGAAAAUAUACAUCAUGACGGAUUUAAUAAAACUAACUUAUAGCUGUAAAUGUUAGUACAUUUUUCUAUAAACUUUGGUCAAAGUUUAAAUUUUUUACUUAGGACAAAUAUAG
rnacentral:pre_miRNA from 1 species